rnacentral:tRNA from 1 species
GAGAGAUGGCUCAGUGGUUAAGAGCACUGACUGUUCUUCCAGAGGUCCUGAGUUCAAUUCUCAGCACUCA